rnacentral:lncRNA from 1 species
GGGGGCUGUGUGAGUGUUAGAGUGCUGUGUGUGUUAGGGUGCUGUGUGUGUUAGGGUGCUGUGUGAGUGUUAGGGUGCUGUGUGAGUAUGUUAGGGUGCUGUGUGUGUAUGUUAGGGUGCUGUGUGAGUGUUAGGGUGCUGUGUGAGUAUGUUAGGGUGCUGUGUGUGUGUUAGGGUGCUGUGUGAGUAUGUUAGGGUGCUGUGUGAGUAUGUUAGGGUGCUGUGUGAGUGUUAGGGUGCUGUGUGAGUUAGGGUGCAUUGUGAGUGUUAGGGUUCUGUGUGUUUGUUAGGGUGCUGUGUGUGUGUUAGGGUGCUGUGUGUGUGUUAGGGUGCUGGUGUUAGGGUGCUGUGUGUGUUUUAGGGUGCUGUGUCAAUGUUAGGGUGCUGUGUGUGUGUGUUAGGGUGCUGUGUGUGUGUUAGGGUGCUGUGUGAGUGCUACGGUGCUGUGUGUGUGUUAGGGUGCUGUGUCAAUGUUAGGGUGCUGUGUGUGGGUGCUGUGUGAGUGUUAGGGUGCUGUGUGAGUGUUAGGGUGCUGUGUCCUGUGUAUAUUAGGGUGCUGUGUGUGUGUUAGGGUGCUGUGUGAGUGUUAGGGUGCUGUGUGUUAGGGUGCUGUGUGAGUAUUAGGGUGCUGUGUGAGUAUUAGGGUGCUGUGGGAGUAUGUUAGGGUGCUGUGUGUGUGUUUGGGUGCUGUGUGUGUGUUUGGGUGCUGUGUGAGUGAGGGUGCUGUGUAAGCAUGUUAGGGUGCUGUGUGAGUGUUAGGGUUCUCUGUGUGUGUUAGGGUGCUGUGUGAGUGUUAGGGUGCUGUGUGUGUGUUAGGGUGCUGUGUGAGUGAGGGUGCUGUGUGAGCAUGUUAGGGUGCUGUGUGAGUGUUAGGGUUCUCUGUGUGUGUUAGGGUGCUGUGUGAGUAUGUUAGGGUGCUGUGUAAGUGAGGGUGCUGUGUGAGAAUGUUAGGGUGCGGUCAGAGUGUUAGGGUGCUGUGUGCCAGGUGCUCCCAGAGGUAUUCCUCACCAUUUCUUUGGGGCCAUGAGGAUUGGGGUAUUGGUGGGUCCGAACUGGUCAGCCGGUAGGGGAGGAUUCUGUUUGCGGAUGUCCGGGAUGGUCAGGACCCGGUGUCCGUCAAGACUCUUCCAUACAAGACCGACAUCCUUUGCAAGGGCAGGUGGGUCCCGCUGGCAGCGGUCCCAGGAUUGGACGCCUGUCUAGUCUGGGCGCUCAGGGAGUCCGCAGUACGGCCGUAUCUGGCUGGCCCAAUCAUGGUACACGAGGAGGAGAACUUCCUCUCCCAUUUUCAAUUUGUUUGGCGGUCAUUCUUUCCGCAUUGGCGCUGCGACGGAGGCCUCUCGGCUGGGUAUGCUGACUCGGGAUGUGCGGAGGAUAAGAAGGUGGGACUCUAGGAGAUUUGCUCAGGUGUGCAGGACGCUGGUUUGCUCCAUUGAUUGUUUGUUUUUUCCUUCUCAGGGCGGAUGAUUGAGCACUCGACAGUGGAGGUUCGGUGGUUCAGCGCCGGGGGGACGUGAAGUGGGUCUGGCUCCUCCCGGAAGUGGUCCGUGUGACAGACCCAUCCGUAUGAACUAAGAUUGCUGGGUUCGUCUGUUUGCUUGUUUCACAAACUCUCCCAUUUGUAUGCAUGGAUUUAAGUGAAUUGACUUUUUUACCGAACAAUCCUGUCGAACGGACAGCCACCCAGAAGAGAAGUGUGCUGCUGGUUAACCUAUUGAUCCCAAUUAGAACGUUGCGGUUAACCACAGACACUUCUCAAUUAAAACCGAAUACAGGGUGGUCGUCGUUCGAAUGUCAGCGGCGGCGGCCAUUUUAAACCAUGCAAAAGACCAGCGGUGUUCGGUACUAAAUUCAUGGAACUGAAAACGGACACUUUUUCAACCGAACACUGCUGAUGCCAUCGACCUCCCUUCCCCAAUCGACAGAAGUGUGCGAACACCAGCCGUUCGGGAGAUUUAAAGGCACGAAUGGACUUACCCCAGAUAGCCUUCCCAUGGAGUCAAUCGCAUACUGAAGAACUGUAAUAGACUUUGACUCCAUGGCGAUUGAACUAUGCGUAUGGGAUCUGAGCGCUAUUUGCCAAUAAUAUGCACUCAGAUCCAGGCUAUCUGGGAUGUGUUACACGAAUGAGAAAUGUUCGGCAGUUAUAAAGUUAUAUAUUUUUAUGUGUUUUAUGAUUUGUAUUUAAUAUGGCGAUUUGCCUCUGCUCUGGGAGAUAAUUGAAUUACUUCUCAAUUAUCUUCCGGGCAUAGUGGAGGAAACUGUUAUGUAUGCUGGGAAUAUUGUGUGACUGUAUGUCCUGAAAUGCCAUAUGUCCAUCUGCUAUUCCAGUCUCCCAUUUGGUCCCCUAGGGGAGUGUCCACCAGGUGGGAGACCUGCAUAAAUACGAGCGGGUAGCCCACACUAAACUCAGUUCGUGUUUUACCCUCAAUGCAGAGCUUGGUCUCGUUAUUGGGGUGAUUUUAUUACCGGCGACUAGAGACUGCUAUUUGGAAUUAUCAGCCGCUUGGGAGAUACCGGCGUUCGGCUGAUAUUGACGGUUCGUGAGCUUGAAGCUCGUGGAGGGAAGUGACCGUACGGAUACCGUUCGGGACUUUGGAGUGUUCCCUUGCUGGCAGUUCGCAUGGUUGUAUUGGAUACGCUUACAGCCUACAUUAUUGCGAACGGGGAGCAUUCACUAAACGGCGGUUUGUACAUUUCAUGCUGAAGGUACCGUAACAGUCAGGUUCUCUCGCUUGCGGGGGGGUGUCAUUGGUUCUGGUCAUUCCCCCUGGGGGGGUACUGACCUGGGGACGGUGCCGCUCGGUGACUUGGUGGACAUAGGGAAGCGGGACUUACAUAGAAACAUAGAAACAUAGAAUGUGACGGCAGAUAAGAACCAUUCGGCCCAUCUAGUCUGCCCAAUUUUCUAAAUACUUUCAUUAGUCCCUAGCCUUAUCUUAUAGUUAGGAUAGCCUUAUGCCUAUCCCACGCAUGCUUAAACUCCUUUACUGUGUUAACCUCUACCACUUCAGCUGGAAGGCUAUUCCAUGCAUCCACUAC